rnacentral:tRNA from 1 species
AUCUGGCUGGCUCAGUCAGAAGAGCAUGUGAUUGUUGAUCUUGGGGUCAUGGAUUUGAGUCCCAUGUUAGGUG